GACGAACGCUGGCGGCGUGCUUAACACAUGCAAGUCGAACGGAAAGGCCCUGCUUUUGUGGGGUGCUCGAGUGGCGAACGGGUGAGUAACACGUGAGUAACCUGCCCUUGACUUUGGGAUAACUUCAGGAAACUGGGGCUAAUACCGGAUAGGAGCUCCUGCUGCAUGGUGGGGGUUGGAAAGUUUCGGCGGUUGGGGAUGGGCUCGCGGCUUAUCAGCUUGUUGGUGGGGUAGUGUCUUACCAAGGCUUUGACGGGUAGCCGGCCUGAGAGGGUGACCGGCCACAUUGGGACUGAGAUACGGCCCAGACUCCUACGGGAGGCAACAGUGGGGAAUAUUGCACAAUGGGCGGAAGCCUGAUGCAGCAACGCCGCGUGCGGUAUGACGGCCUUCGGGUUGUAAACCGCUUUCGCCUGUGACGAAGCGUGAGUGACGGUAAUGGGUAAAGAAGCACCGGCUAACUACGUG
rnacentral:rRNA from 1 species